GAUGAACGCUGGCGGCGUGCCUAAUACAUGCAAGUCGAGCGAACGGACGAGAAGCUUGCUUCUCUGAUGUUAGCGGCGGACGGGUGAGUAACACGUGGAUAACCUACCUAUAAGACUGGGAUAACUUCGGGAAACCGGAGCUAAUACCGGAUGAUAUUUUGAACCGCAUGGUUCAAAAGUGAAAGGCGGUCUUGCUGUCACUUAUAGAUGGAUCCGCGCUGCAUUAGCUAGUUGGUAAGGUAACGGCUUACCAAGGCAACGAUGCAUAGCCGACCCGAGAGGGUGAUCGGCCACACUGGAACUGAGACACGGUCCAGACUCCUACGGGAGGCAGCAGUAGGGAAUCUUCCGCAAUGGGCGAAAGCCUGACGGAGCAACGCCGCGUGAGUGAUGAAGGUCUUCGGAUCGUAAAACUCUGUUAUUAGGGAAGAACAUAUGUGUAAGUAACUGUGCACAUCUUGACGGUACCUAAUCAGAAAGCCACGGCUAACUACGUG
rnacentral:rRNA from 1 species